CAUGUGAGCUCCCCACCUUGUAAUAUCCAUGUGCCACUAUAACCACUAAUAGUACAAAUUAAGGUAUCAUGCUGUUUAGUUCUAGGGCUCUGGGUGAAAGUAUCGCUUCUGUGCCAUUUGUGUAGUACUGUGACUGUAGCUGUGACCUCAUGGAUAAUGAACUGCUAAUCUUAUCUGGGACAGAGCACUAGUAAUUUGGCAUGGAUGUUGCUAUUUUAUUAGAACCGAGCAAACGUUUAACUACCUAGGAUUCACCUAAAGUAGAUUCAUUUAGGUCAUGCUGGGAGGAAAAAGGCCUAAUUUAGUUGCAAUGGAUGCUGGCCUGUGGAAGGCUUGCAGGGGGAAAAACAAAUAUGCUGAAAGGCUGUCAGGAGAUGGAAUCCAAUUUUGGACUUAUACAGGACCAGCAUGGGAUGUGCAAAAGGGAAGAUUAGCAGAUUGAGAUAAUCAAAGAAGAGAUACAUAUUUGCCAGCAUUGCCGCCUCCUCUCUCAUCAAGACUUCAAGGCUAGCCCAUCUUGUCUUCUUCUGCUAUCACGUGCCAAGAAGGAGCCUUCAGAAUUCAUUACUUAAUUUGCAGAAUUUUCCAGAGGCAGCUUUGGUGGAAUGUUUCAAGAAGCUGGGAGUGGCGUUUAUAAAUGGUCCAUGUUUCACAGGCGUACAGUAAGGCAACCAAGAGGCAUUAUUUGAGUUCAAGGACACUUUCCACUCAAGGAGGAUAUGAAGGCAAGGGUUGUGGCCUAUGGAGAGAAGGUGUGGCUGAGAAAGCAUAUGCCGGGUACUCAUUUUACCAACCACGGAUGGAUGGAAGGCUGAGUGGACCUUGACCCCUUAUACUGGAGAUUUGACUUCCUCCUUCCGUUGGAAUUGAACUACGGCUGUGAGCAGAGCUUCAGCUGCGUUACUGCCACUUACCACUCUGCGCCACGGAGGAUCUUCCUGUGCCUAUUAGAGCUGCUAUAUUUAGGGUUGUAUCUUUAAUUAGAGCUGUUAAUAAGAUAUCUUAAGGAGAUAAAUGCUUAAGGAGAUAGUGUUCAGGUGUGACAUACAGGUUCAUUUCACAGGUUGGGAAAAAUGGACAAGAUAGAGUACAGGACAACAAGUAUCAAAUUAGCCAAGUGAUGUUUUGACAACAAGGAUGAGACCAUGUUAGAAACUGAGUGAGAAGCAUAUGGAAACAUGCAGUGAGGAUGUGAAAGUGCCACAAUUCCCUGAGUGGUUUUACAAUCAGUUCCUCUUCCCAGGGAACUCUGGGAAUUGUUUCUCUCUGAGAGGAAUAGGGAUCUCCUAACAACUCUCAGCAACAAACUACAGUUCCCAAAUUGCUUUGGGCUGGCCCUGGCCAAAACAUUCAUAACAGAGUGUUCUAAGCAGAUUCCUUCCAUGAUGUAGGGAUGUGCAGAACAUCUGAGUUCUGCUCUUUUCCAGUUUAUUUAGGAAAAUCAGAUACAGGAACUGCCUUAAUUGCACGUGCUAUGAGGCCUCCAAUGUGGUCAUCAGCCUUACACGAUGCUAGAUUUCAUAUCUCUGAAAGCCUCUAGGCAUUGUGGCAUGGCCUGAAUUCCUUUUUGGGUUGGAAAUUGUUGAUGACUUGAAAUCAAUGACAGUGCUAUAAUUACAGCAUUGCAAUUAAAGCAUAAGGAUCACAUCCAGGAGAACACUUCAUGUCAGCCAGUACACCUUGAAACAAUUAUGGAUGUGAAAGGCACCCAAAUAUCUGACACUAUGGUACAUUAUGGUGUCAGAUUACACACAAAAUUAUUCUGGUAAAGGAUUACAAGUGGACAAAAUUUCAAAACAGCUGCAGAAGAUCAGGGCCAAGUGUCCUGCUGAGUCAGAUGAUAGCCAUGGGGAAGAGCUAAGGGUGGUGAAACCACAAACCCUGACUAAGGGAAGCCCUGCUCUGCUCAUAUGCUUCCUUUUCUAUGACCACAUAAAGGCUGAAGAUAUAUUGCUUAAAUAAAAGAAGGAAAUCAUAUUCCCAGGAUGCCAGUUUCUUUGCCAGAUUCCAGGUUCUGCUCCAGUGCAGCAACCCUGAAGAUCCAUUUGCCUUUCACUAAUCUACUAGCUAGUUCCUAAUAAGUGAAAUUGUUUGUAAAUGGUGCUGUUUACUAUGACCUUUAUAGUUAAUCACUGUCCUAGGAGUUUCGAUUUGAUUUUCCACUUUUUUUGCAUUAAUCAAGAAUAUACACUAGCAGCUAAAGUUUCUGGUUUCCUAUCAGUGGGAAGCACUUGGAGCAUAAGUGGUGUUUAGAAAACAUAUAGAUAUGUGAUAUUUAAUUUAAUGCAUGUUUACCAAGGAGAUUGAAUUAAGCCAAUAUGUUGCCAUUUAUACAAGUCCAGUAACAAGCUUCUGGAUAUCUUUUUGGCUAUGGCAGAUGGAGCUCUAUAACUGCAUGAGAUGUUUUUCUUGGCAUUUCAGGUAACCGGAGAUCUUCUUUGAAUACACUGGCGACUCCUCUAGGUGACCUAUAUAUUUAGCAUUCAUCUUGAUUUGCUGCCAUGUAGCUUACACAGAGGGCAGUCCAUGUCCAGUCUUAAAUAAGGAACCUAGGACAGCAAACACCAAAGUGAUAAAACAAAAUAUUAACAAAAUAAAAUGACAAACACCUUUAAAGAUUUAAAAACAGCUACAAACCUCUAAAAGCAUGUAAAAGCAUUAAGAAUGUCUAAAAGCACAUAAAAUAGUAAAACACAUUGAACAUUUGUUUUGUUUU